rnacentral:rRNA from 1 species
CCUACGGGAGGCAGCAGUGAGGAAUAUUGGUCAAUGGGCGCGAGCCUGAACCAGCCAAGUAGCGUGAAGGAUGACUGCCCUACGGGUUGUAAAUUUCUUUUAUAAAGGAAUAAAGUGAGGCAAGGGUGCCUUUUUGUAUGUACUUUAUGAAUAAGGAUCGGCUAACUCCGGGCCAGCAGCCGCAGUAAUACGGAGGAUCCGAGCGUUAACCGGUGUGAUUGGGUUGAAAGGGAGAGUAGAUGGGUUGUUAAGUCAGUUGUGAAAGUUUGCGGCUCAACCGUAAAAUUGCAAUUGAUACUGGCAGUCUUGAGUACAGUUGAGGUAGGCGGAAUUCGUGGUGUAGCGGUGAAAUGCUUAGAUAUCACGAAGAACUCCGAUUGCGAAGGCAGCUUACUAAACUGCCACUGACAUUGAUGCUCGAAAGUGUGGGUAUCAAACAGGAUUAGAUACCCGAGUAGUC